AUUGAACGCUGGCGGCAUGCCUUACACAUGCAAGUCGAACGGCGGCGGGGGAGAAGCUUGCUUUUCCUGCCGGCGAGUGGCGAACGGGUGAGUAAUACAUCGGAACGUGCCCUGUAGUGGGGGAUAACUAGUCGAAAGAUUAGCUAAUACCGCAUACGACCUGAGGGUGAAAGUGGGGGACCGCAAGGCCUCAUGCUAUAGGGGCGGCCGAUGUCUGAUUAGCUAGUUGGUGGGGUAAAGGCCUACCAAGGCGACGAUCAGUAGCUGGUCUGAGAGGACGAUCAGCCACACUGGGACUGAGACACGGCCCAGACUCCUACGGGAGGCAGCAGUGGGGAAUUUUGGACAAUGGGCGAAAGCCUGAUCCAGCAAUGCCGCGUGUGUGAAGAAGGCCUUCGGGUUGUAAAGCACUUUUGUCCGGAAAGAAAUGGCUCUGGUUAAUACCUGGGGUCGAUGACGGUACCGGAAGAGUAAGGACCGGCUAACUACGUGCCAGCCGCCGCGGUAA
rnacentral:rRNA from 1 species